AUUUACAGCCAUACUACCUCCCACUCUGAACUCAUUUCAUGUCAUACACUAAGCAAGGUCGGCUGGAUCGAUACUUGGAAGGGAAACCUCCAGGGAGAAAACAGGUGCUGUAAGAA
ensembl:rRNA 5S_rRNA 5S ribosomal RNA